UACGAAGGGGGCUAGCGUUGCUCGGAAUCACUGGGCGUAAAGGGUGCGUAGGCGGGUCUUUAAGUCAGGGGUGAAUCCUGGAGCUCAACUCCAGAACUGCCUUUGAUACUGAGGAUCUUGAGUUCGGGAGAGGUGAGUGGAACUGCGAGUGUAGAGGUGAAAUUCGUAGAUAUUCGCAAGAACACCAGUGGCGAAGGCGGCUCACUGGCCCGGU
rnacentral:rRNA from 1 species